rnacentral:siRNA from 1 species
UGUCUUUCUCACCCUCAGCCA